rnacentral:lncRNA from 13 species
CAGAGGAAACAUAAUGAGUGAGUAAAGAGGACAGUGGAUACAUAAUGAGUGAGUAAAGACAACAGAGGAAACAUAAUGAGUGAGUAAAGAGAACAGAGGAAACAUAAUGAGUGAGUAAAGAGAACAGAGGAAACAUAAUGAGUGAGUAAAGAGGACAGAGGAAACAUAAUGAGUGAGUAAAGAGAACAGAGGAAACAUAAUGAGUGAGUAAAGAGGACAGUGAAACAUGAGUGAGUAAAGAGGACAGUGAAACAUAAUGAGUGAGUAAAGAGAACAGUGGAAACAUAAUGAGUGAGUAAAGACAACAGAGGAAACAUAAUGAGUGAGUAAAGAGGACAGUGAAACAUAAUGAGUGAGUAAAGAGAACAGAGGAAACAUAAUGAGUGAGUAAAGACAACAGUGGAAACAUAAUGAGUGAGUAAAGAGAACAGAGGAAACAUAAUGAGUGAGUAAAGAGAACAGAGGAAACAUAAUGAGUGAGUAAAGAGAACAGAGGAAACAUAAUGAGUGAGUAAAGACAACAGAGGAAACAUAAUGAGUGAGUAAAGUGUUACGGUGCGUGAAUGAGGACCCAAAAGCGAAUUAACUUAAACAGAGCUUCUUUAAUUACCAAACAUAGGUAGGCUCAGACGGACCGGCAGAUUCCGACAGGACAAGACAAGGUUACAGCAAACAUGACGACAGUCUGGUUCAGGCAUGAAACACAACAAACAAGAAUCCGACAAAGACAGGAGCAGAAACAGAGAGAGAUAUAGGGACCUAAUCAGAGAGAAAAAGGGAACAGGUGGGAAAAGGGGUGACGAGGUGGUUAGGAGGAGACAAGGCACAGCUGGGGGAAAGAGGGGGAGAAAAGGUAACCUAACAACGACCAGCAGAGGGAGACAGGGUGAAGGGAAAGGACAAGACAAGGUUACAGCAAACAUGACGACAGUCUGGUUCAGGCAUGAAACACAACAAACAAGAAUCCGACAAAGACAGGAGCAGAAACAGAGAGAGAUAUAGGGACCUAAUCAGAGGGAAAAAGGGAACAGGUGGGAAAAGGGGUGACGAGGUGGUUAGGAGGAGACAAGGCACAGCUGGGGGAAAGAGGGGGAGAAAAGGUAACCUAACAACGACCAGCAGAGGGAGACAGGGUGAAGGGAAAGGACAGAGACAAGACACAACAUGACAGUACAUGACAAAAGAGAACAGAGGAAACAUAAUGAGUGAGUAAAGAGAACAGAGGAAACAUAAUGAGUGAGUAAAGACAACAGAGGAAACAUAAUGAGUGAGUAAAGAGAACAGAGGAAACAUAAUGAGUGAGUAAAGAGAACAGAGGAAACAUAAUGAGUGAGUAAAGAGAACAGAGGAAACAUAAUGAGUGAGUAAAGAGAACAGAGGAAACAUAAUGAGUGAGUAAAGAGAACAGUGAAACAUAAUGAGUGAGUAAAGAGAACAGAGGAUACAUAAUGAGUGAGUAAAGAGGACAGUGAAACAUGAGUGAGUAAAGAGGACAGUGAAACAUAAUGAGUGAGUAAAGAGAACAGUGGAAACAUAAUGAGUGAGUAAAGACAACAGAGNNNNNNNNNNUCAGAUUACAUCAUAUCACACUGUAGAGUCAGAUUACAUCAUAUCACACUGUAGGGUCAGAUUACAUCAUAUCACCCUGUAGGGUCAGAUUACAUCAUAUCACCCUGUAGAGUCAGAUUACAUCAUAUCACACUGUAGAGUCAGAAUACAUCAUAUCACCCUGUAGGGUCAGAUUACAUCAUAUCACACUGUAGAGUCAGAUUACAUCAUAUCACACUGUAGGGUCAGAUUACAUCAUGUCACACUAUAGGGUCAGAUUACAUCACAUCACACUGUAGGGUCAGAUUACAUCAUAUCACACUGUAGGGUCAGAUUACAUCAUGUCACACUAUAGGGUCAGAUUACAUCACAUCACACUGUAGGGUCAGAUUACAUCAUGUCACACUGUAGGGUCAGAUUACAUCAUAUCACACUGUAGGGUCAGAUUACAUCAUAUCACACUGUAGGGUCAGAUUACAUCAUAUCACACUGUAGGGUCAGAUUACAUCAUAUCACACUGUAGGGUCAGAUUACAUCAUAUCACACUGUAGGGUCAGAUUACAUCAUAUCACACUGUAGGGUCAGAUUACAUCAUAUCACACUGUAGGGUCAGAUUACAUCAUAUCACACUGUAGGGUCAGAUUACAUCAUGUCACACUGUAGGGUCAGAUUACAUCAUAUCACACUGUAGGGUCAGAUUACAUCAUAUCACCCUGUAGGGUCAGAUUACAUCAUAUCACACUGUAGAGUCAGAUUACAUCAUAUCACCCUGUAGAGUCAGAUUACAUCACAUCACACUGUAGGAUCAGAUUACAUCAUAUCACACCGUAGGGUCAGAUUACAUCAUAUCACACUGUAGGGUCAGAUUACAUCAUGUCACACUAUAGGGUCAGAUUACAUCAUGUCACACUAUAGGGUCAGAUUACAUCAUAUCACACUAUAGGGUCAGAUUACAUCAUAUCACACUAUAGGGUCAGAUUACAUCAUAUCACACUGUAGGGUCAGAUUACAUCAUAUCACACUGUAGGGUCAGAUUACAUCAUAUCACACUAUAGGGUCAGAUUACAUCAUAUCACACUAUAGGGUCAGAUUACAUCAUAUCACACUGUAGGGUCAGAUUACAUC